rnacentral:rRNA from 1 species
GACGGGGCCCGCACAAGCGGAGGAGCAUGUGGUUUAAUUCGAUGAUACGCGAGGAACCUUACCUGGGCUCGAACGUAAGAUGACUGUAGGUGAAAGCUUACGUCUCUUCGGAGCAUUUUACGAGGUGCUGCAUGGUUGUCGUCAGCUCGUGCCGUGAGGUGUCGGGUUAAGUCCCAUAACGAGCGCAACCCCUACCUUUAGUUGCCAUCAGGUAAUGCUGGGGACUCUAAAGGAACUGCCUACGCAAGUAGCGAGGAAGGCGGGGAUGACGUCAAAUCAGCACGGCCCUUACGUCCAGGGCUACACACGUGCUACAAUGGCCGAUACAGAGGGCAGCUACCUGGUGACAGGAUGCAAAUCUCCAAAGUCGGUCUCAGUUCGGAUCGGAGUCUGCAACCCGACUCCGUGAAGUUGGAUUCGCUAGUAAUCGCGCAUCAGCCAUGGCGCGGUGAAUACGUUCCCGGGCCUU